CUAACUUCAUUAGAUUGCAUUCUCCCAAUCACAUAUUCCUUAGACUUUAUCGUUUAAGCAUAUAACAUUUAUAUGAGACGGCUCAAACAAUAAUUUAUGCCCUUUAUAUGUAAACUAGAUUAGUUUAACAUGUGAAAUGUCCGUAAAGUAUCAUCAUAUGAUUGGCUUUACGGCACAUUUCCAACAAUCUCCCACUUGCACUAGAGCCAAUCAGCUUGGUCAUCAGUGAUGAUAUCUCUUCUGUAGUCAUUUCAUAAAUGGCUGAGUAGUAGGCCUAGACAAUGAAUAUCUAUAUGUUAUCCAUAGAAGCAACCUUGAGAAUGACGACGUCACCAUUAUACAUGAUUCUCAAUCAUGUGGUUUAGUCUCUCAUAUGAGUUCGGAUCUUGAUGAGACCUUGAUUCCCUGGCUUGAGCUUUCGCCCCAUUAGUGUCAUAGUGUCGAUACACUAGAUACACUUUCUGGUUGGAACCGAAUAGAGAGUUCAUAAAUGAACUUUCUCAUCCAAACAACAUUGUUGUAAACUUCUAUAUAUGGCAAUAUAUUUUGCAUUCAUAAUGGAACACACUAAAGUCAUUACUUUAAUGUUUCCAUCCAAAUAUCUCUUUAUUCAUAAUAAAGAGAUAUAUGUUUAUCUCUUCAUUCAUAAUGAAGAAACAUCCAAUGAUGGAUUAGAUUCAUAAUCUAAUACAUUUACGCUUCCAUUACGUUACUCUUAAUUCUUCCUCGAUCUUUGAGGAAUUUAUCCUUUAGUAUUUCUUAAAUACUUAAGGACUUACUUGACAGUUGCCAUGGUUCUGAUCCUGGGCUUGCACUGAUAUCGUCUUGUACCUUUCUAGGUACAACCCAUAUCAAUGUUUUUCAUACAAUAUGAAAUACAUAAAUCACCUUUCUGCUUACGCAUAAAGGAUUCUAUUUACGCAUUAUUUCUUUAGGAGUCAAAGGGUACGUUCCCUUUGAGAAGAGCUACCUCCUAGUCUCACUAGAGUUGUUCUUCUGAUUAAAGUUUAUCAUCAUAUGAGAAACUUCCUAGCAUCUUUUGUCUAUUAUUAGGGAUUUAUAUAAUCAAAUUAUAUCCUAAAAUCUAUCAAUAUAGAUUUCCAUCCCAUGUAUAUAGACUAUGUCUCCCAUAUACAUUCUAUCUUCAUAUAAUGUUUAAAGUCAUAACUUUAACGAAGAAAUUUUCUUUUCAUUUCCAAAAUUAAUAUAUCAUAUAUACAUUCAUAUAUAUCACAUAUAUAUUUAUAUAUAUAUAUAUAUAUAUAUAUAUAUAUAUAUAUAUAUAAAUUUAGGAAUAUGAUUAACUCCCACUAAUCUUUUGUAAAUCUAGUAAACAAAAGAUUCAUUUACAUCUUUAUGAGAAA
rnacentral:lncRNA from 1 species